CAACCUUCUUAUCCCGUAAGUUCCUGGGAUUCAGUGCAUGGUUUGGCUGUGGUAGGAGGCAUGCAUAGAGGCAGGGGUAAAUUGUGGUUUUCAUCGAAGACAGGCCUACUGCAGACUACUGGUGGAUAGUGAUUUUGAUUGGUGGACUGUAUAUGUACUCCUAGGAAUGUUAUUUGUAUAUAUUCAGAACUGUUUUUUGAUUUUGUAUGGCAGAUUGCUGUAAAUAAGGGGAACUUGGC